AUACGUAGGGUGCGAGCGUUGUCCGGAAUUACUGGGCGUAAAGAGCUCGUAGGUGGUUUGUCGCGUCGUCUGUGAAAUUCCGGGGCUUAACUCCGGGCGUGCAGGCGAUACGGGCAUAACUUGAGUACUGUAGGGGAGACUGGAAUUCCUGGUGUAGCGGUGAAAUGCGCAGAUAUCAGGAGGAACACCGGUGGCGAAGGCGGGUCUCUGGGCAGUAACGGACGCUGAGGAGCGAAAGCAUGGGUAGCGAAAAGGAUUAGAUACCCUGGUAGUCCAUGCCGUAAACGGUGGGCGCUAGGUGUAGGGGUCUUCCACGACUUCUGUGCCGUAGCUAACGCAUUAAGCGCCCCGCCUGGGGAGUACGGCCGCAAGGCUAAAACUCAAAGGAAUUGACGGGG
rnacentral:rRNA from 1 species